rnacentral:rRNA from 1 species
UCCAGACUCCUACGGGAGGCAGCAGUGGGGAAUAUUGGGCAAUGGGCGCAAGCCUGACCCAGCAACGCCGCGUGAAGGAAGAGGGCUUUCGGGUUGUAAACUUCUUUUAAGAGGGACGAAACAAAUGACGGUACCUCUUGAAUAAGCCACAGCUAACUACGUGCCAGCAGCCGCGGUAAUACGUAGGUGGCAAGCGUUAUCCGGAUUUAUUGGGUGUAAAGGGCGUGUAGGCGGGAAAGCAAGUCAGAUGUGAAAACUAUGGGCUCAACCCAUAGCCUGCAUUUGAAACUGUUUUUCUUGAGUGCUGGAGAGGCAAUCGGAAUUCCGUGUGUAGCGGUGAAAUGCGUAGAUAUACGGAGGAACACCAGCGGCGAAGGCGGAUUGCUGGACAGUAACUGACGCUGAGGCGCGAAAGCGUGGGGAGCAAACAGGAUUAGAUACCCUAGUA